GCCAAACAAACCACGCCGGGCACGCACCGCCCUGGGCGGGGAGCACCGCGCCGGCGGAAGGCCCGGGAGAGGCCCCGACCCUGCAGGCUCUUGUUUUUGCCUGAGUCCUGCCUGGUGCAAAGGCAGCUGCUUUCUGUGGUGGUCCCCCAGUCUCUGCUACAGACAAGAAUAUUUAACCACAGGGGUUCAGAGAAGAAAGCACACGCCCAUUAUCAGAUUUCAGUGACAGCGUUUCAGGUGGGCAAAACAAAGAAAUACAGUUUUAACAUUAUAAGCAAGAACUUUAAAAAUUGGCUUUGACUUGGCUAACUUGCAAGUGAAGAGAAAUCCAGGAUCAAGGAAAUCACCCAAACUCCUAAGCACCACUUUGCCUUUGCAACUCGAUAUUCACAUUUAUUACUAUGAAGUGAAGAAUUUUACCGACUCACCUCUGUGG